rnacentral:rRNA from 1 species
AACGAACGCUGGCGGCAGGCCUAAUACAUGCAAGUCGAACGGAUGUAGCAAUACAUUAGUGGCGCACGGGUGCCUAACGCGUGGGAACAUACCCUUGAGUAAGGAAUAAUGUCUGGAAACGGACACUAAUACCUUAUAAUGACUUCGGUCCAAAGAUUCAUCGCUCAAGGAUUGGCCCGCGUCUGAUUAGCUAGUUGGUGAGGUAACGGCUCACCAAGGCGACGAUCAGUAGCUGGUCUGAGAGGAUGAUCAGCCACACUGGGACUGAGACACGGCCCAGACUCCUACGGGAGGCAGCAGUAAGGAAUAUUGGACAAUGGGGGAAACCCUGAUCCAGCCAUGCCGCGUGAGUGAAGAAGGCCUUAGGGUUGUAAAGCUCUUUCAAUAGUGAAGAUAAUGACGGUAGCUAUAGAAGAAGCCCCGGCUAAAUUCGUGCCAGCAGCCGCCGCAG